AAGAGUUUAAGUUAAAAAAACUAAUGACCUUCAAAGUCGGAAUUAGAAUAUUCUAACUCUUG
rnacentral:tRNA from 1 species